UGGGGUAUAGCUCAGUGGUAGAGCACUUGCCUGACAUGUAUGAGACCCUGGAUUUUAUAUCCAGCACUGUGG
rnacentral:tRNA from 1 species